rnacentral:rRNA from 1 species
GAUGAACGCUGGCGGCGUGCCUAAUACAUGCAAGUCGAGCGAACAGACGAGGAGCUUGCUCCUCUGACGUUAGCGGCGGACGGGUGAGUAACACGUGGAUAACCUACCUAUAAGACUGGGAUAACUUCGGGAAACCGGAGCUAAUACCGGAUAAUAUAUUGAACCGCAUGGUUCAAUAGUGAAAGACGGUUUUGCUGUCACUUAUAGAUGGAUCCGCGCCGCAUUAGCUAGUUGGUAAGGUAACGGCUUACCAAGGCAACGAUGCGUAGCCGACCUGAGAGGGUGAUCGGCCCCACUGGACCUGAGACACGGUCCAGACUCCUACGGGAGGCAGCAGUAGGGAAUCUUCCGCAAUGGGCGAAAGCCUGACGGAGCAACGCCGCGUGAGUGAUGAAGGUCUUCGGAUCGUAAAACUCUGUUAUUAGGGAAGAACAAAUGUGUAAGUAACUAUGCACGUCUUGACGGUACCUAAUCAGAAAGCCACGGCUAACUACGU